rnacentral:tRNA from 1 species
UAGCUCAGUUGGUAAAGAAUCUGCCUGCAAUGCAGGAGACCCAGGUUAGAUUCCUGG